rnacentral:rRNA from 1 species
UACGUAGGGUGCGAGCGUUAAUCGGAAUUACUGGGCGUAAAGCGUGCGCAGGCGGUUUUGUAAGCCAGAUGUUAAAGCCCCGGGCUCAACCUGGGAAUGGCAUUUGGGACUGCAAGGCUUGAGUGCGGCAGAGGAGACUGGAAUUCCUGGUGUAGCAGUGAAAUGCGUAGAUAUCAGGAGGAAUACCGAUGGCGAAGGCAGGUCUCUGGGCUGACACUGACGCUCAUGCACGAAAGCGUGGGGAGCAAACAGG